rnacentral:rRNA from 1 species
GACGAACGCUGGCGGCGUGCUUAACACAUGCAAGUCGAACGGUAAGGCCCUUCGGGGUACACGAGUGGCGAACGGGUGAGUAACACGUGGGUGAUCUGCCCUGCACUUCGGGAUAAGCCUGGGAAACUGGGUCUAAUACCGGAUAGGACCACUGCCUGCAUGGGUGGUGGUGGAAAGCUUUUGCGGUGUGGGAUGGGCCCGCGGCCUAUCAGCUUGUUGGUGGGGUGAUGGCCUACCAAGGCGACGACGGGUAGCCGGCCUGGGAGGGUGACCGGCCACACUGGGACUGAGAUACGGCCCAGACUCCUACGGGAGGCAGCAGUGGGGAAUACUGCACAAUGGGCGCAAGCCUGAUGCAGCGACGCCGCGUGAGGGAUGACGGCCUUCGGGUUGUAAGCCUCUUUCAGCACCGACGAAGCGCAAGUGACGGUAGGUGCAGAAGAAGGACCGGCCAACUACGUGCCAGCAGCCGCCGUAAAAC